UGGGGAAUAUUGCACAAUGGGCGAAAGCCUGAUGCAGCAACGCCGCGUGAGUGAUGAAGGCCUUCGGGUCGUAAAACUCUGUCCUCAAGGAAGAUAAUGACGGUACUUGAGGAGGAAGCCCCGGCUAGCUACGUGCCAGCAGCCGCGGUAAUACGUAGGGGGCUAGCGUUAUCCGGAUUUACUGGGCGUAAAGGGUGCGUAGGUGGUUUCUUAAGUCAGGAGUGAAAGGCUACGGCUUAACCGUAGUAAGCUCUUGAAACUGGGAAGCUUGAGUGCAGGAGAGGAAAGUGGAAUUCCUAGUGUAGCGGUGAAAUGCGUAGAUAUUAGGAGGAACACCAGUAGCGAAGGCGGCUUUCUGGACUGUAACUGACACUGAGGCACGAAAGCGUGGGGAGCAAACA
rnacentral:rRNA from 1 species